UAGGGAAUCUUCCACAAUGGACGAAAGUCUGAUGGAGCAACGUCGCGUGAGUGAAGAAGGGUUUCGGCUCGUAAAACUCUGUUGUUAAAGAAGAACAUAUCUGAGAGUAACUGUUCAGGUAUUGACGGUAUUUAACCAGAAAGCCACGGCUAACUACGUGUCAG
rnacentral:rRNA from 1 species